rnacentral:misc_RNA from 1 species
GAUGAAGAACGUAGCGAAAUGCGAUAAGUAAUGUGAAUUGCAGAAUUCAGUGAAUCAUCGAAUCUUUGAACGCUCAUUGCGACCUCUGGUAUUCCGGGGGGCAUGCCUGUUCGAGCGUCAUUACAACCCUCAAGCUUUGCUUGGUAUUGGACAUUGCCAGUUUCUGGCAGGUCUUAAAAUCAGUGGCGGUGCCAUUUGGCUUCAAGCGUAGUAAUUCUUCUCGCUUUGGAGAUCCAGGUGGUUACUUGCCAAUAACCCCCAAUUUUUUCAGGUGGAACUCGGAUCAGGUAGGGAUACCCGCUGAACUUAAGCAUAUCAAUAAGCGGAGGA